UGGAGGUCCUCUCUGGUGAGUUUCAGAUCCGCGGUCCAUGGGCCCAUCCCCACCCGCUCCUCCACACCCACGGUCUGGGGGUCCCUGCGGACGUCACAGAUCCCGCUCUGGCCCCUCGCACCUGCGAUCUCAGGGUCGCCCUGAGAUCGGGAUGUCGGGCGCUCCGCCGAAGGGUCUGAGUCCGCAUCCACCGCCAGUCAAAAUCGCCCCGAGGCCGACCCCGUCCGGGCCUUUCUGCCUUCCUUCUCUUCCCCGUCUCCCCGCGCCCCGACUCGCGACGUGGACUCUCGCCCUCCGCGCCCCGCAUCGCCCCUCUCGGCCCCUCAGGGCAGCCCCGGAACGCCGCGCCCUCCCCUGUCCAUCCUGGGCCUCCUUCGGCCGGGACCUGCCUCUCGCUCCCCUUCCCGGUCACCGCCUCAGAAAGGUCCUUGAGCCCUGGGCUGGAGCACAUCUAUCCCAGGGAGACCUUAGUGUUCAUGGAUUUGUAGAAUUGGCUUCUCUGCAGAUAUUUGAAGAUUCCUCCUCUUUGGGAUUUACCUAAUGACAAGGAAAGGAUGUCCCUAAGACAUUUCUUGAUGGCUUUAUCUUGAUUGGGACCCCUGUUAAUCAGAUUUGUCCUUUGGAUUACAACACUGAUGAGGUUGUCAACGGCAUUAAGAGAGAGUUCACCAUCAGAAGGAUGCAUUUCCUGGAAAGAGAAAGAAGCUCUGAACUCUGGAAUGUUGUGGUAGCAUCCUCACUUUGCCUCCUGUUGCUUGGACUGUGCGUGAGUGAAAACCCAGAAGAAGAUGGCAGGUGAUCUGGUUACAAUGGAAUCACAGGAAUCAGUGACCUUCGAGGAUGUAGCUGUAGACUUUACUCAAGAAGAGUGGGCCCUAUUGAACUCAUCCCAGAGAAAACUCUUCAGAGAUGUGAUGCUAGAGAAUAUUAGUCAUCUGGUCUCAAUUGGCAAUCAACUCCACAAAUCAGAUGUGAUUUCCCAUGCGGAACAAGAAGAGCAACUUUCAAGAGAAGGGUUAGGUUUUCUGCAAGGCCAGAGUCCAGUCAUUUCAGGUAGAGAAGAUGAUCUGAAAAAACAAGAAAUGAUAUCCAUGCAACAUAUCUGCAAGAAGGACACAUCUUUAAUCUGUGCAAUGAGAUCUCACACUCAAGAGGAUCCUGUGCAAUGCAAAGAUUUCAGAGAAAAAUUUACUGAAAUCUUAACAUUGACUCAAUAUGUGAUACCUCAAGUGGGAAAGAAACCCUGUAUCAGUGAAGAUUUUGGAAAAGCUAUCAGUUACUUGUCAUCCUUUAAUCUACAUAAGCAAAUUCAUGCUAGAAGUAAAUCCCAUGACCGUCAUCAACAUAGGAAUACGUUUAUUCAAAGUCCUGCCCUGAGAGAACACCACAGUACUCAAACUGGUGAGAAAACAUUUGAAUGUCAUGUAUGUAGAAAAGCCUUUGGUAAAAGUUCUAACCUUAGACGACAUGAGAUGAUUCACACUGGAGUGAAACCACAUGGAUGUCAUCUUUGUGGGAAAUCCUUCACUCAUUGUUCUGACCUUAGAAAACAUGAGAGAAUUCACACUGGAGAGAAAUUAUAUGGAUGUCAUCUGUGUGGGAAAGCUUUCAGUAAAAGUUAUAACCUUAGGCGACAUGAGAUGAUUCACACUAGAGAGAAACCAAGUGAAUGUCAUCUAUGUGGGAAGGCCUUCGCUCAUUGUUCUGACCUUAGAAAACACGAGAGAACUCACUUUGGAGAGAAACCCUAUGGGUGCAAUCUAUGUGGUAAAACAUUCAGUAAAACUUCUUACCUUAGACAACAUGAGAGGACUCACAAUGGAGAGAAACCAUAUGAAUGUCAUCUAUGUGGGAAAGCCUUCACUCACUGUUCUCACCUUAGAAAACAUGAGAGAACUCAUACAGGGGAGAAGCCAUACGAAUGUCAUGUAUGUGGAAAAGCCUUCACUGAAUCAUCUGUUCUUAGACGACAUGAGAGAACUCACACUGGAGAGAAACCAUAUGAAUGUCAUCUAUGUUGGAAAGCCUUCACUGAUUCUUCUGUCCUUAAGCGACAUGAGAGAACUCACACUGGAGAAAAACCGUAUGAAUGUCAGCUGUGUGGGAAAGCCUUCAAUCACUCUUCUGUCCUUAGACGACAUGAAAGAACUCACACUGGUGAGAAGCCGUAUGAAUGCAAUAUAUGUGGUAAAGCCUUCAAUAGAAGUUAUAACUUUAGAUUGCAUAAGAGAAUUCACACUGGAGAGAAACCAUAUAAAUGUUAUAUAUGUGGGAAAGCCUUCAGUAAAUAUUUUAACCUUAGACAACACGAGAGAACUCACACGAUAAAGGUAAUAAAUGUGGAAGGGUCACCACCCAGAGCUUCAAACUAUAAACACUCUUAAGGAAGGAACACUAUGUUUAUAUUCAAUGUAUAAGAGCCUUUAUUCAUCCUUAUUACUUCACUCAAUUAAAGUUACUUCAAAGUUGAUAGAAUUCAUAUGUUUGUCACUAUAUAUUAUAACAAAACCUUUGGCAGUAGACUCACCUGGGAGAAGUGAAACUAUAAAUGAAAUGAAUGUGGAAGAAUCUUCAUCCACAGCUGUAAAUGUUAAACUAAAUGGGUAAAUCACAUGUCAGAGAAAUUCUAUGUCUGCAGUCAGUGUAGAAAUACCACCAGUUACAAUUUGUCCUUUAAAUAAAUAAGUGAACUGCACAGGAGAGAAAUUUUAGAUCUGUAAUCACUGCAUACUCUCACACUCAUUUAACUUAGCACCAUUCUUGGCAUGCACGAGAAAGAUUCUGUGUCAGGUAACUGCUAAAAACGAAAUAAGUGGGACCAAGUUAGGACAUGAAGAAGUGUAAAGACAUUUGGGAUAACCCUUUUCUAGGAUGUCUAAUAUACUUAUGCUAAUUUAUGUAAUGACAAAUUACCAUCCCUCCUAGUGAUGCGUAAGACACCUGGAAAGCUGGGAGAGCAGAAAGAAGCCAAGAUAAUCUGAUCUUGCCCAUAUUCCCCUGUCAUGUCAUUCCCCUGCCAUGAAUUCGCAAAUCACCAAAUGGGAAUGAGGCCCAUGAGUUCCGGCCCCUCCCAUAUACAAAUGCAGAAGGCUAGGCAAGAAAAAAUGGGAGCUUCUCUUCUGCCAGGAUAAUAAGAGAAGGCCUGCUCCUUGGUACUCAUUUGAACAUGACUAAUAUAUAUGUUUCACAAGUGGCAAUACUAAGAACACAGAUGUUUAUUAAUUUGUCCUCUUUUUCUAAGGAAUAAAUGGACUCAAUGUGAAGGGAUAGAAAAACAUAUUCUGCAAAAAUAGAAAUCAUGGGAGCAGAGGUAGCUAUACUAUCAGACAAAAUAGACUUACUCAAAAAACUGAGUUCAUCAAAAGGCUAUAACAUUUGUAAAUAAGCAAACUGAAAUACACAGUGACUCUCCCCUACAUCUCUGAGACUAUUUCCUUAUGUGGGAAUUAGACCCAAUGAAAGCUGAGGGGUAAAAGGAAGUGACAGUGCAUUGAAGUAUAAUUUAACUUGUUUUCUGUUACUAUAAUUAAAAUUUUUUUCCAGGC